rnacentral:misc_RNA from 1 species
GAUGAAGAACGUAGCGAAAUGCGAUAAGUAGUGUGAAUUGCAGAAUUCAGUGAAUCAUCGAAUCUUUGAACGCACAUUGCGCCCUUUGGUAUUCCUUAGGGCAUGCCUGUUCGAGCGUCAUUUAAACCUUCAAGCUAAGCUUGGUGUUGGGUGACUGUCCGCUUCACGGCGGACUCGCCUCAAAAUUAUUGGCGGCCGGUACAUUGGCUUUGAGCGCAGCAGAAACGCGAACUCGGGCCCGUCGUAUUGGCUCCCAGAAGCUAUCUUCACAAUUUUGACCUCGGAUCAGGUAGGGAUACCCGCUGAACUUAAGCAUAUCAAUAAGCGGAGGA